GAUUUUCUAGCACUGAAACAGCCGUUACCAAAAAACACAGGUCAAACUGUACGUUGGGCACUGCUUUCCUUGCUGUGACAUAUGUCAAGAGACCAUGAUACAGUGUAACAAAAUUGUGUCUUUCUUUUUAGAAAAAGAAAAAGGAAAAGAAGAAAUCAAAUAGGGUGAGCAAAGUUUUCAGGUUUUUAAGUUUACGUGGCUUGAGUUCCUGAAAAGACACAAUAAGAGUAUGAUUUGGAGUUUUAUAUGUCUGAAUAGCUAUGCUUCUGUUGCUUGUUAUCUGAGAGGUAGUUUAGUUGGUAUUUGAGGGGGAAAGGAGAAUCUUAAACUUCAGUUUAAAAGAAAAGGGUCUUGCUGAUUUAAAAAUAGAGAAUGCCAUAUAUAUGUUGUUUGUUUGAGGAAAUAUCACUCACAGAAGUGCCCACUUCAUACAACUUUAUUUAAGAAAAUCUCCCUGGGCUAGGCUUUUAGAACUAAGAAUGCUGUUGACAACAUCUGCAGAGACAUUUGGGAGCAUAUUUGGGUAUUCCUUUAACUAUUUUUCAAACAGACAAAAUACUGCAUCUCACAAGCUUUAAUUUUUGUUGUGUUUGGUCAAGUUGUCUUCAUCUUCCUCUUCUUCAUCGAGCUCUGAUUCUUCCAGCAGCUCAUCUGAUUCUGAUGAUGAGGACAAGAAACAAGGGAAAAAACGAAGAAAAAAGAAGUAUCGCUCCUCACGGAAAUCUUCUGAAAGCUCUACUUCUGAUUCUGAAUCAGAUAGCAAGGACAGCACAAAAAAGAAAAAAAUAAAGGAAGAACAUGAAAGAGAAAAGGACAAUAAAAGUCUUAGUAGGAAAAGGAAGAAACUUGAUCGUGGGAGUGGACCUUUAUCAUCAGAGUCCUUAUCAGAGUCAGAUCCUACUGAGGAGGUACAAGUGAAAAAGAAAAAAAACAGUGAAGAAAGAGAAAAAGUAACAGCAAGUAUUCUUCCUAUUUCCCUAAAUUUAGACAGUGUCUUAACACGGUGUAAAAUUAGCAUGUACUUUUAUAGUAUGAGACACCCUUUACAAAGUUGAAUAUUUUAUACAAAAUUCUGUUCUCAGGUGCACAGCUGUAAAUUGAGAAUAACUUAGUUUACUUCUGGAAGCUUCUUUGCCUAUAUAUCAGUUUCCCUGAGAACAGAGUUUGCCCCUGUAUUCAUAGAUUCCAAGGCCAGAAGGUACCAUUGUGAUUAUCUAGUCUGACCCCGUGUCUAACACAGGCCACAAAACAUCCCCAAAUAAUUCCUUGAGCAUAUCUGUAUGUUACCUAAGUACAGAUAUGUGUGAAUAGAAAUGUUAUUUUCUAGAUGCAGUAAAAGUCAAAUAUGUUUACCUAUAUUCACAUUAAUAAAAUGGAACUUUAAGCUCCAAAUGAUGUAUGCUGAUAUAAUAUACAUCCUGCUCCAAAAUAUAUAAAUAGAGAUUUUAUUCUGUGCCUCAUAAGGUGUUUCUAUACUAAAUCUGGGAGCGUGCCUCUCAAACUGAGGGGGGUGGAAUAGGGUUAAUGCAACUUUAACAUUUUUGUUCCCUCUUGAUUUUGGGUAGUUGCAGUGGUCCCUGGCAUAACUUGAACAGCCUUGGAGGCCUGUGUACGUUACGACAGCCUCCCAGGCUGCCCUGUGAGCCUCAGCACCACUCAAUCUCUCUGCACUGGAUACUGAGUCCUUCCCCGACAGAUCCUCUAUGCCAGAGCUUGAGAAGGGGUGCUCAAAAUAUAAUCCAUGUACUGUUACGUUGGAGGAAUUCUCUUCCAGAUGAGUAAGGGGCUUUUACCUUCUCUUUACGACUCUAGUCCUUUUACCCAGUACAAUGGGGCAAGAGCCAGGAUGAGGAUCUUGCCUUUAAUUAAUUUCUUUACAAAGACCUUCUGCAUUAAGUGCUCUUAGGGUAAUCAUUUUCAUUUUGUUCAGUAUGUAAUCUACAUGCGGAUUUGAAGUUACAAAUUUUCCAGAGUUGGGCUGGUUGUCAGCCAUAUGAUUCACAGUGGCUGAUGUGCUGAGCUUUUUCUUUUAAAUAAAUGUAUAUUACAUACAUUGUAUACUGCACUGAAGCUAUGUAUUUUGUGUAUAGUGGAAAACAUCCAUAUAGCACUGAGUGACAAUUCUUGUGUAUCAUUGUCAUAGUAUAUAAUACAAACCUGGUCCUCCAUGCGUUACUCGGGAAUAGCUACUGAAAUUCUGCCUGACUGAGGACAGAGAAUUGGUUUUUAGAUUGUGUUUCUAUGUUUAGAAUAUUAAUGUUAGAAUAAACUGCAUUAGACUUCAGCCUCCAGCACUUAUGUCUCAUUUAAUUUGGAAUUAUACAAGGGCUCAAUUAUGAAAACCCUCAUACAGUUAAGCAAAGGCUGUAGGACCAGGACCUAUUUUGUCAGGAAUGGGAAAUCAAACUCGUAUGUGGACAGUGAAUAAUCAAAUAUGCAUUGGAAUUAUAUAGGGCUUCCUACUCUCUUCCUUCUCCAAUAUGCAAAAUGCCAGUUCCCUCUCAAACUCCAUUAUCUUACUGAUGUCUCAACAGUUCAUAAAGUGUCCAUGUGACUUAAAAGAUUAGUAAACAAAAUAGCGACAAUGGCUACUUUUGGCCUCUUAUCAGACCAAAAUAGAACUAACUUUGAUUUUUUUUAAAAAAUUCAUAUUAUUCUAUCUUCUGACACUUUGCGGUUCUUUUCUCUCCCUCAUUGUGGCAUUAUAAUACUGUACACUUAUGUAGUAAUGUUAUCUGAAAUAUCUUUGGACAGACACCCUUUCAGAGUUCUUAUAACACUUAUUUAGCUGAAUUUUAAUAGAUUUUGAGUUUUCAUUUAUGGAAUAACUUGCAUUAUUUAACUGUUUUAAAGGAUAAAACAAAAAAGAGAAAGAAGCACAAGAAGCAUGGUAAAAAGAAGAAAAAGAAGACUGCUGGUUCAAGUUCAGAUUCAGAAUAACACUUAAAUCGAGUCCCUUCAACAAAAGUGCAAUGAUUAAAGGAAACUUCAACUGUGAAAAUUAUGGCAAUCUUUACCACACUGCAUGAGUUUCCCCGUGUUUUAGGAAUAUUACUAGACUUUCAAUAGCCAGCCAGGUGCCACCGUGCCCAAAAAGACCAUUGUUGUUGCCUGCUGCUUGAUACCUGGGGUACAGGUUGGUUGUUUUUUUUUUAAUUCCAGUAGCCAGUGUUAGUUGUUUGAAAUCAUAAGAGAAGGUGGUCCAGCUAAUAUGUAAAAUAUUAGGAAAUAGAGUGAAACCUUUUAGAUACUAAAAAUUGUGUUUUAACAAGUUAGUAAUAUACUCUAAUUUUUAAACCUGCAGAAAUAAAAUCUAAAAUCCAUCUUGAAGAGGAAUAUAAAACAACAAGACUAUUGAUACUUGGUGACUACUGAUGCCAUUUGUGAAAUGGGAAUAAAAUAGUAACAAUUUUAAAUGUUACUUUUGUAGAAAUAUUAAUGAUAAGUUUGCCUUUCCUUUUCUUUUGUGGGUGUUUAUCAUUUUGUCUAGCUGAAUUAGGGUGCCUUUGGUCCUUGCAAAAUCCAACUAUUUUUAACAGUGCAACAACUAUAUUUCUUAGGGAGUUUAAAACUGGUAUCAUCAGGUUUUUCGUGAAUAAACAAUUCUGGGCCUCUACCAGGUACUUUUGCAUUAAGUAAGAGCAAUGACACUUUGCAGCAUAACUUGACAUCCAAAAAGACCUUACCUCCACUUCAUUAAAACGAUGCUGAAUACUGUGCUAUUAAUAUGUAUUACAUCAUUUAAAGUAAUUUUGAGUUUAACAGAACAUUUUUGGCAAACACUGGUAGCUUUUUCCUUUUGCAUUGUCAUUAAGAUAUUUAGAAAUUAUUUUGCAUGUUUGUACCAUUUUUAAAUAACGUACAAGUAUUCCGUUGUAACCAUUGGUCUUGGUUUUUUUUAUGAAUUAUGUUCCAGGUGCAGAGUUUCAUAUAUGUAUUUACUUAUUCUAAUAGUAAGUUCAUUUGCUGUGAUAAAAUGCACACUUGCUGAAAAUAUUUAGCAUGUAAAAAGCAGGGUUUUGAUAUCUAACAGCUUCAUAUUGAAGCUGGUUUUACUUUAAGCAAGUUCAAUGGCAGACCUGUUAUGCGAAUGUGUCUUGUUAUAUAAAACUACUGCCAGAAUCUCAGUAAAGAUACUC
ensembl:lncRNA